CUUGUACAUUUCAACACAAAUAAAUCCUUGUCAGUUAUAAGAGAGGAAAAAAAAUGCAUCUUCAGCCUUGGUUUAAAUAAGUCCACAGAAUCAGACUGCCUUCUUGAUUCCACAAUAACAAAAAGCUCUCUGACUUGCUGACGACUUCUUCACCCUUGGAACACAUGACGGUCCACAAUCCCGAGAUCCAGGCCAG